CCCGCACAAGCGGUGGAGCAUGUGGUUUAAUUCGAUGAUACGCGAGGAACCUUACCUGGGCUCGAACGUAAGAUGACUGUAGGUGAAAGCUUACAUCUCUUCGGAGCAUUUUACGAGGUGCUGCAUGGUUGUCGUCAGCUCGUGCCGUGAGGUGUCGGGUUAAGUCCCAUAACGAGCGCAACCCCUACCUUUAGUUGCCAUCAGGUAAUGCUGGGGACUCUAAAGGAACUGCCUACGCAAGUAGUGAGGAAGGCGGGGAUGACGUCAAAUCAGCACGGCCCUUACGUCCAGGGCUACACACGUGCUACAAUGGCCGAUACAGAGGGCAGCUACCUGGUGACAGGAUGCAAAUCUCCAAAGUCGGUCUCAGUUCGGAUCGGAGUCUGCAACCCGACUCCGUGAAGUUGGAUUCGCUAGUAAUCGCGCAUCAGCCAUGGCGCGGUGAAUACGUUCCCGGGCCUU
rnacentral:rRNA from 1 species